GAUGAACGCUGGCGGCGUGCUUAACACAUGCAAGUCGAACGGAAAGGCUCCUGCUUGCAGGGGUACUCGAGUGGCGAACGGGUGAGUAACACGUGGGUGAUCUGCCCCGCACUUCGGGAUAAGCCUGGGAAACUGGGUCUAAUACCGGAUAGGACAGUGGUUUGGAUGCCAUUGUGGAAAGUUUUUUCGGUGUGGGAUGAGCUCGCGGCCUAUCAGCUUGUUGGUGGGGUAAUGGCCUACCAAGGCGUCGACGGGUAGCCGGCCUGAGAGGGUGUACGGCCACAUUGGGACUGAGAUACGGCCCAGACUCCUACGGGAGGCAGCAGUGGGGAAUAUUGCACAAUGGGCGCAAGCCUGAUGCAGCGACGCCGCGUGGGGGAUGACGGCCCUCGGGUUGUAAACUCCUUUCGCUAGGGACGAAGCGUUAUGUGACGGUACCUAGAGAAGAAGCACCGGCUAACUACGUG
rnacentral:rRNA from 1 species